ACAUUUUGACAGACACUCCCAGAGGGAACAAAAAAAAGGAAUGGAGACAGCAAGGGAAUCUCGUUAACUUUGUGCGAAACAGCAUAACACUGAUAAAGAAAAGAAGGUAAACAAAAAUUUUCUGACAUUUACUUCUGCUAGGAGUGUAGAUUGGUACAACAUUCCUGGAAAACAAUUUGAUGAUAGUUAUAAAGAGCCACAAAAUGCUCAUUAAUUUCUAAAUUGGUAACUUCACUACUAAGAAUUUAUUCUAAGGAAAAAUAGAGAUAAAAGUUGAUGGGCAAAGAAAGAUCCAUCUCUGCAUUAUUUAUAAGAGGGAAAACUAGAAAAGCAAAACUAUGUGUCUCACAAGAAGAUAAUGGUUGAAGCAUGGUGAACUCGGUGAGAAAUAAGAAAGACCUCAACAGGUGGCGAAAGAAGGCAUAGAAGGAUUGAAUGCUGCCUACCCGACUGGUGGGCUAUUAAUAGUUCCCCUAGAGCAUGUUCUUUAAUAGAAAACGGAGAAAAAUGUAUGAUAAACAAAAAUGUGCAAACCCAAAUGUGCAUGUUAAUCAAUGAUUACGAAUAUGAAUCCACCUAGAUUUCUCAGCUGUCAAAUCUAAGGAUAAAGAAACUCAAAGGAACACCAGGCAGGUAGCAGAGCUAUACACUAAAUCUUGUCUCCAUCACAUUCACAGCUCCACAGGCUAACGUUCUCUAUACUGAUGGCCCCUUCUUAGUUGAUGAUUUUUCACAAUGUAUUUCAUGGCUUCCAUCCCUACAUGAGACUUUAUUACUAUCACAUAGGAAUAAAAAGCCAUAAAGCACUAGAGUGAAUUUAUCUUGGUCGGAUGCAAAACUUAUUUUCUUCACAUGACUUCACAACCAUUUCAAAGCUAACCAAUCAUUUCACGCUACAUUAAAGAACAUUUUAAACUACACAUAAGUGACAGGAAGCACACUUGAAUUGUGACAUCACGAAUUAACAAGAUUUUAUCCUUCCACGACAUUCUUAGCUACAAGGACCGGGAAACAAGACCAAGAGACACUCAGCAACAUUCAGCCAUUGAAUUCACCAAAAACAAAGGACACUGGGAAGAAUUCCUGGAGAAAUGCUCAUCACUUUGACAUUGAACUUGGAAACACAUACGGAAAGACAGAAGACAGACAAAUCACUGAUGCAAACUGAAACCAGAGGAAUUAUUUCAAGCCUCUUGCUCCAACUUUUCCCCAGAAAGCUUUCUUACAUACCCAUGCUGGCUUUUAGACUUUUCAUUUUGGGUCAGGUGGGGAGUCGGGAUCUUAGUACCUGUUUGACUAUGUAAGCGUUAAGCUUUCUCUACACCUAAAUAACAAAAAGGAAAUAAAAAAGUAUAGCAUACUAUGUGCUAACUGCUCACCUACAGCCUUUUAUAGAGAUGCAUCCCCAACCCCAUCUACAAAAGCGAGAACGAUGCCAGAAACAAUACUAUGCACUGAAAUCUCUCAGUGAUCUAAAUAACUCAGGUCCAAAGACCAAGAACAUUCUUCAUGCUGCAUUAAAGUGACAUUGCUCUUGGUAUUAUUAAAACACUUAUAAGUGGCCAUGCUGAAACCCAAUUCUCUGUACCACUGAAAACUCAAUACCAUAAAUCCCAAUGGUUUUAUCUGGACUUUAAAAAAUAAACUUGAGGUGCCUAUCUACCAACUCCCGAAACAGCAUUCCAGACUAUUAAGCACUGCCCUCUGCUUUAUUUUUUAAAAAUGCAUUAUUCAAAUUCAAAUAAAA
rnacentral:lncRNA from 1 species